rnacentral:rRNA from 1 species
GACGAACGCUGGCGGCGUGCUUAACACAUGCAAGUCGAACGGAAAGGCUCUGCGUUUGUGUGUUGCUCGAGUGUCGAACGGUUUAUUAACAUGUGAGUAACCUGGGCUUGACUUUGUGAUAACUUCAGGAAACUUGGGCUAAUACCGGUUAGGAGCGUGUGCUGCAUUGUGGGGGUUGGAAGGUUUCGGCGGUUUGGGCUGGACUCGCGGCUUAUCAGCUUGUUGGUGGGGUAGUGGCUUACCAAGGCUUUGACGGGUAGCCGGCCUGAGAGGGUGACCGGCCACAUUCGCACUGAGAUACGUCUCAGACUCCUUCGGGCGUCAGUAGUCGGGCAUAUUGCACCAUGCCCGGAGGCCUAAUGCAGUAACGCGGCGUGCUUGAUGACGGACUUCGGGUUGUAAGCCGCUUUCGCCUGUGCCGCAGUGUGCGUGCCCGUGAUGAAUAAAGCAGCGCAGGGUACCUUCGUG